rnacentral:snRNA from 1 species
UAAGUAACAUCUAAGUGGUUAUGUUAGGAUCACAGUGGUGUUUUGCUCAGUGUGUGAGGCUCAGGCUUUGCACUUCAGUUGUGUGGACCCUUGCAAAUUCCUGAAAAGUGGGAAUUUCAGCUGCAUUAUUUCUGCUAGUGAGGGGGCUUAGGUCAUGCCCUCU